rnacentral:rRNA from 1 species
AACGAACGCUGGCGGCAUGCCUAACACAUGCAAGUCGAACGAGACCUUCGGGUCUAGUGGCGCAAGGGUGCGUAACGCGUGGGAACCUGCCCUUAGGUUCGGAAUAACUCCCCGAAAGGGGUGCUAAUACCGGAUAAUGUCUUAGGACCAAAGAUUUAUCGCCUUUGGAUGGGCCCGCGUUGGAUUAGCUAGUUGGUAGGGUAAAAGCCUCCCAAGGCGACGAUCCAUAGCUGGUCUGAGAGGAUGAUCAGCCACACUGGGACUGAGACACGGCCCAGACUCCUACGGGAGGCAGCAGUGGGGAAUAUUGGACAAUGGGCGAAAGCCUGAUCCAGCAAUGCCGCGUGAGUGAUGAAGGCCUUAGGGUUGUAAAGCUCUUUUACCCGGGAUGAUAAUGACAGUACCGGGAGAAUAAGCUCCGGCUAACUCCGUG